UCCUUCACAUCAUGAUCUAUUGAGGCCUUCCACCUCUUUCACUCUUCCUUUUAUUCUGUCGGAGGCUUCUUUUAUGUGAAGGAUGGUAUGAUUGUGUGAAUGGUUUCACUAAGCCUUAUUUAUCUUUAUUUUAUGUACCCAUUUAUUUACUCAGUUUUAUCUAUUUUGCACAUUAUCUGCCAGCACUUAUUUGUGUGUUGUUAAUACUUCCUGCAUGCUUUUACCAUGUUUAUGUGUAUUUUUAUGUCUAUGCAUUUUUUUAAUUAAAAGGUAUCCUGCAUUUUUCACCCAUGAGUUCUUCUGAGAUCGCAGUGGGCUCCUUUUUAUUCCCAUAUUUUGUAUUUAUGCGCAUGAUUUACUGUUUAUGAGGGGAUGUGUAUGGAUGUAAGUCUGAUUGGUUCCCUGAAGGACCGAGCUGUGUGCGUACUUUGCUAUGAAAUCGUUGUCUGUAGCCCUUCUCUGAUCUCCGAUGGAGGAUACAUGAAGGAGGCUGAGCAGUUCAGAGGUUAUCUUUAAUGGAUUACCAAACAGAGCCACCCUCAUCUCCAGGAUUAAAGACGUGUCUUCCAGGACGGUAGAAAGACGCAUGACUGAUAUGGAUGAAAACGUACGACACCAGAAAACUCCUGACAGGUUUACUUCCAUAGAUGACGGCAUUUUAACUAUCUUCACAUUGCUAUCAUCAGAAUGAUAAUAAUUAAUAAUAUAAUCAUUAUCUUUCAUAAUAAUAUAUUUAUCCUCCUACACAUUCUCUAUUUUCUUGUUUCACUUCUUGUCUGUUCUUGGUUCUCUCAUAUUUCUUAUUAUUCCGAUGUUUGGUCAUCAACACUAGGCCUACCUUAGCGUGGCACAUGGAAUCAUUUCCGUUAUCUGGGCUGGCAGACCACUUUAAAGAAGGGACAUAUUUGGAAGCAUUGUUUUUUUGCAACAGACUAACGAUGCAUGCAGUGAUGAUAUGAUACACUGAUCGUUUAAAACAGCCCUUAUGGAACGUGACCACAUCUUUACUUUCUGUCUCCAGAGAGAGAGACCCGAGUCUCCAAGCAGUCAAGUCUCAAGUAGGUCAAUCAGAGUCCAGUCUCACAGCAGGGAGUCAGAGUCCAGUCUCACAGCAGGGAGUCAGAGUCCAGUCUCACAGGUCAAGUCAAGCCUCAAGUCUCCAGCUCUGCUUUCACACAUAUUAGUUCAGAUUCAUAAUGACUUUUUUUAAAUUAAUUCAGCAAUAAGAAUGUUAUUUUAUCCAUAGAAUGUGAACUAUUCUAAUGUUGUUUCAGACUGGACAGUCCCUGUGUCUCUUUAAUAACCUGCUCAGGGUUGUUGGCCGAAUUCUGCUCUGUUGACAAGUGAUUGAUGAGGACGCAUCGACUCUGUGGGCAGCUAUGGGAUUAACACAUUAUUACCCAGCAUACAUUUGGAGGCGAUACGCCUGCGUCUGUAUGUUUUAACGUUAACUGUUAGUGGGAAAAUAAAACAACUAUUAAUUCAACGCAAAGUUCACCGUACAAAAAUUCUUUAUUUAUUUAAUUGUUUGGUUGCAAUCUCAUUCUCCAUCUAAAACAGCUGCUUAAUACAUCUGUAAUGUAUUUGUAAGUGUACAUUGGUUACUUUAUAAACCAACGGUAGAUUACAUAGAGAAUUAUCCACCCGCAACAGCAAAAACUGCAUAAUAACAUCAGUAAAUAUCAGUAACAGUACAUUAGUUACUCUAUAAACCAACUGUAGAUCAUAAAGCAUUAUCUCAAACGGUAACAUUUAUACAUAAUACUGUACACCAGUUGUAGGCCCAUCCUGCCCCGUCUUCCUCAGCUCUCAUCUCCUCCACUAGAGGGCAGUCACGGCCUGUGAAUGCAGAGUGACAGUAGGAGGGGUUAUCUCCUCUGAGCCAUAGAGUGGGAGGGGUUAUCUCCUCUGAGCCAUAGAGUGGGAGGGGUUAUCUCCACUGAGCCAUACAGUGGGAGGGGUUAUCUCCUCUGAGCCAUAAAGUGGGAGGGGUUAUCUCCUCUGAGCCAUAGAGUGGGAGGGGUUAUCUCCACUGAGCCAUACAGUGGGAGGGGUUAUCUCCACUGAGUCAUAAAGUGGGAGGGGUUAUCUCCUCUGAGCCAUACAGUGGGAGGGGUUAUCUCCUCUGAGCCAUGAAGUGGGAGGG
ensembl:lncRNA